AACGAACGCUGGCGGCAUGCCUAACACAUGCAAGUCGAACGAGACCUUCGGGUCUAGUGGCGCAAGGGUGCGUAACGCGUGGGAACCUGCCCUUAGGUUCGGAAUAACUCCCCGAAAGGGGUGCUAAUACCGGAUAAUGUAUUAGGACCAAAGAUUUAUGGCCUUUGGAUGGGCCCGCGUUGGAUUAGCUAGUUGGUAGGGUAAAAGCCUACCAAGGCGACGAUCCAUAGCUGGUCUGAGCGGAGGAUCAGCCACACUGGGACUGAGACACGGCCCAGACUCCUACGGAAGGGAGCAGUGUGGAGUAUUGGACAAUGGGCGAAAGCCUGAUCCAGCAAUGCCGCGUGAGUGAUGAAGGCCUUAGGGUUGUAAAGCUCUUUUACCCGGGAUGAUAAUGACAGUACCGGGAGAAUAAGCUCCGGCUAACUCCGUG
rnacentral:rRNA from 1 species